rnacentral:rRNA from 1 species
AUUGAACGCUGGCGGCAGGCCUAACACAUGCAAGUCGAGCGGAGCGGCGGACGGGUGAGUAAUGCCUAGGAAUCUGCCUGGUAGUGGGGGAUAACGUGCGGAAACGGGCGCUAAUACCGCAUACUAUCAGAUGAGCCUGGGUCGGAUGAGCUAGUGGGUGGGGUAAAGGCCUACCAAGGCGACGAUCCGUAACUGGUCUGAGAGUAUGAUCAGUCAACCUGGAACUGAGACACGGGCCAGACUCCUACGGUAGGCAGCAGGGGGGAAGAUUGGAGAAUGGGCGAAAGCCUGAUCCAGCCAUGCCGCGUGUGUGAAGUAGGUCUGCGGAGUGUAAAGAACUUUAAGUUGUGAGGCGUUACCAACAGAAUAAGCACCGGCUAAGUCCGUGCCAGCAGCCGCGGUAAUUC